rnacentral:rRNA from 1 species
CGAACGCUGGCGGCGUGCUUAACACAUGCAAGUCGAGCGAUGAAGUUUCUUCGGAAAUGGAUUAGCGGCGAACGGGUGAGGAACACGUGAAGAAUCUGCCCUCCACUUUGGGAUAACACCGGGAAACCGGUGCUAAUACCGAAUAUUGAAACAUAAGUGGCAUCACUGAGUUUUGAAAGAAUUUCGGUGGAGGAUGACUUCGCGGCCUAUCAGCUAGUUGGUGAGGUAAUGGCUCACCAAGGCAACGACGGGUAGCCGGCCUGAGAGGGCGACCGGCCACACUGGGACUGAGACACGGCCCAGACUCCUACGGGAGGCAGCAGUGGGGAAUAUUGGGCAAUGGAGGAAACUCUGACCCAGCGACGCCGCGUGCGGGAUGAAGGCCUCGGUUGUAACCGCUUUCAGUAGGAGAAGCGAAAGUGACGGUACCGUACAAACGAAGCACCGGCUAACUACGUGCCAGCAGCCGCGGUAAUCU